rnacentral:rRNA from 1 species
GAGUUUGAUCUUGGCUCAGAACGAACGCUGGCGGCAUGCCUAACACAUGCAAGUCGAACGCCUGUAGCAAUACAGGAGUGGCAGACGGGUGAGUAACACGUGGGAAUCUACCCAGUAGCUCGGAAUAACUGCGGGAAACUGCAGCUAAUACCGGAUAAGCCCCGAGGGGGAAAGGAGCAAUCCACUAUUGGAGGAGCCCGCGUCUGAUUAGCUAGUUGGUGAGGUAACGGCUCACCAAGGCGACGAUCAGUAGCUGGUUUGAGAGAACGACCAGCCACACUGGGACUGAGACACGGCCCAGACUCCUACGGGAGGCAGCAGUGGGGAAUAUUGGACAAUGGGGGAAAGCCUGAUCCAGCCAUGCCGCGUGAGUGAUGAAGGCCUUAGGGUUGUAAAGCUCUUUUGCCGGGGACGAUAAUGACGGUACCCGGAGAAUAAGUCCCGGCUAACUUCGUGCCAGCAGCCGCUGUAAG